AUUGAACGCUGGCGGCAGGCUUAACACAUGCAAGUCGAGCGGAGCGAGGGUGCUUGCACCUUAGCUUAGCGGCGGACGGGUGAGUAAUGCUUAGGAAUCUGCCUAUUAGUGGGGGACAACAUUCCGAAAGGGAUGCUAAUACCGCAUACGCCCUACGGGGGAAAGCAGGGGAUCUUCGGACCUUGCGCUAAUAGAUGAGCCUAAGUCGGAUUAGCUAGUUGGUGGGGUAAAGGCCUACCAAGGCGACGAUCCGUAGCGGGUCUGAGAGGAUGAUCCGCCACACUGGGACUGAGACACGGCCCAGACUCCUACGGGAGGCAGCAGUGGGGAAUAUUGGACAUGGGGGGAACCCUGAUCCAGCCAUGCCGCGUGUGUGAAGA
rnacentral:rRNA from 1 species